rnacentral:rRNA from 1 species
AACGAACGCUGGCGGCAUGCCUAACACAUGCAAGUCGAACGCGUGGCUUCGGCCACGAGUGGCGCACGGGUGAGUAACGCGUGGGAACCUGCCCAUCGGUACGGAACAACCGCGGGAAACUGCGGCUGAUACCGUAUAUACCCUACGGGGAAAGGAUUAUCGCCGAUGGAGGGGCCCGCGUCGGAUUAGGUAGUUGGUGGGGUAACGGCCUACCAAGCCUGCGAUCCGUAGCUGGUCUGAGAGGAUGAUCAGCCACACUGGGAC